CCGGUGGACACAAACCAUGAUAAAGUAGCGGUGUGUGAAGGCUGCAUACUUUGUACAAUUGUAUCUACACAAUGGUGGGUGUUCUCCUCCCUUGAAUAAUGGAAACCCCAUUUAACAGAGGACUUUGGAGCCAUACGUAGGAAUUACAGGGCCAGCCUGCCUAGGCUCCAACAGAGACUGUCAACACAUAUCAGUGUUCAAAGUAGUAUGAGUGAUCUUACAGAGUUUGAAAGAUGCCAAAUUGUUGCUGCACGCCUGUCCGGUGCAUCUGUCACCAAAACUGCUCAGCUGUUUAAUGUGGCAAGAGGAACAGUCUCCAGGGUCAUGACUGUAUACAUCAAACAUGGACGAACAGCAUCCGCAAAGAAGAACAGUGGGCGCAAGUCUAAGCUCACCGAAAAGGAUAGACAGAUACUUCUGAGGAUAGUCGAUGAGCACCCUGAGUAUACAGCCUCAAAGAUAACCUCAGAGUUAAACAGACAUCUAUCUCACACUGUCUCAGUGAAAACUAUACGGCGAGAGCUUCACAAAGCUGGUAUUUUUCGAGGAGCAGCCAGUCGGAAAACAGAGACCGAAACUGACGGACUGGAGUCAGAUGAAAACAUUGAUAAAACUGAACCUGACAAAGAGUCUGGCGUACAGAAACCUGGUGGAGAAAACACAACACCUGAUCUACAAACAAGUGACAAAGAGUUUGGCACACAAAUCUCUGUGGGAGACAAUUUAAUAUCUGAACACCGGGCUAGUGUCGAAGAUUACAACAAAGACACAUCUGAAAAGAGAAUAGAUCCUGCAUCACAAAUCAGUGAAGAAGAGUACACACACACCUGAUGAAGAGAGCACAGGACUUGAACCUCUGAACAGUUAAAAGGACUAACUUGUUGCGUUUCAGCAUUUCUAAUCCACAUUGGUCAUGUUAAUGGAAAACCACAGAAUGCCUUCAUCUCUUUAUCUGCCAACUGUGUCAUGCGAUGGCUCUGAUUAUUAAAGCGUGUUAUAUGUA